CCAAGGAGUCUAACAUGUGUGCGAGUUUCACAGUCUUGAAUAGGCUUGUGGGGCGCAAUGAAAGUAAUUUAUGUGUGAUCCUUGGUAACACGAGGAGCAACACGGGCCCGUUCACUUUGCUUAUUGGCAAUGGAGCGGCGUUAGAGCACAUACGUUGGUACCCGAAAGAUGGUGAACUAUGCCUGGGCAGGACGAAGUCAGAGGAAACUCUGAUGGAGGUCCGUAGCGAUUCUGACGUGCAAAUCGAUCGUCAGACCUGGGUAUAGGGGCGAAAGACUAAUCGAACCAUC
rnacentral:rRNA from 1 species